rnacentral:lncRNA from 1 species
CUGUUGAUCACCUACAGCAUCAGGGUACAUGAUAAGUUCUCAGUGAACACUUGCUGAACUAGACUGGAUUUAUAGAGUCAGAAGGGACCUUGAAGCUCAUCAAGUUCCUUGCUACUUAAAAUGUGGUCUCUGGGCUGGGGAUACAGCUCAGUAGAAUGCUUGGGUUCAAUCCCAGCACCACAAACACACACACACACACACACACAAGAUGUGGUCUCUGCAUCAGCAGCAUUAGUAGCAUCACCUGGGAACUUGUUAGAAAUGCAGAAUCUCAGGCUCCUUCUCAGACAGAAUCCACAUCUUCACCAGCUCCCCCAGUAAUUUGUAUGCUCUUUGAGGAGCAGUGAUCGAGAACAGCGUCUCCCACCUGGCUCCUGCCUGCAUCAUGUGGCAUUGUCAUCACCUAGAAUCACAGAAAACACGGGCCCACCCACGUCAUCCAGCCGCAUCUACAGGAAGACCUCCAUCCUCUGUGGCAGCAGCCCGUUCCACCACGGCAACUCUUCAGCCAUCAGACUGAGUGAAGUCAUGACGUCACGUUCAAAUAAUCUUUCAAGUGGGACUUUGUACUUGGCCUGCGCUCCGUCGAAGCUUAUUGGGGGACAGGUUUAAACGCCUACUGUGGUUUCCCUGUGUGAACCCCAUGAUGAUUAAUUUUAUGUGUCAACUGGACCAGGAGGCGAAGUGCUCAAACACGUGUCAACGGUUGUCCUGGGUGGGUCUGGGCGGGCAUUUCUAGAUGAGGUUGACAUUUGUAUCAGAAGGCUGACCAGAGUGACUGGGCUCAGAGGUAGCUCACUGUAGAGGGUGAGUCCCUGGGUUCCAUCCCAGCACCACUGGAGAAGGAGAGAAGGAGAAGGGGAGGGGGAGGGGGAGGGGAGAGAAACAGGAGACUGAAUGAAACAGGUUGUUCUUCCUAAUGUUGAGUGGACCUCGUCCAGCCAUUUGAAGACCUGAAUAAAAUGAAAAGGCUGGGUAAGAGGGAAUUUUUCCUGCCCAAAUACUUCAGCUGGGACCUCUGCUUUCUGCUUUUGGACUCCAACUGAGACUUUUGGCUCUUCUGGAACCUCAAGCCUUCUACUUUUGGACUGACCCCCGCCCUGGUUCUCAGGCCCUUGGACUCAGACUAGAGCUCGUUCAUUGCUUUCCUGGGUCUACAGCUUGCUGACUACAGAUUUUGAAAAUUCUCUGCCUC